rnacentral:tRNA from 1 species
GGAGGAGUGCCGGAGCGGUCGAACGGGGCGGUCUCGAAAACCGUUGUGCGCGCAAGCGUACCGAGGGUUCGAAUCCCUCCUCCUCCG